UGUGCGGUAGCAAAAUGGCAAUGCCUCCGACUGUUAAUCGGAUGAGUGCAGGUUCGAAUCCUGCCCGCACAG
rnacentral:tRNA from 1 species